GCAGACUCAAACAUGCCCUUAAGCGUGCCUCUUCCAAGGGCUGGAUAAGUGAUGAGUACAUCUGUGUUUGCCAUAUUAUCUAAAAAAUGUCAUAAACACUUAAUGGGGCUGCCAUGCUGCUUAAACAUAUGAACUCAUUUAUUCCUCAAAACAACCUUGAGGUGGUAAAGCAGGCUUGAGGAUCUCGCUCAAGGUCACGUGAUGAUUAAGUUUCAGGACAAGACUCUAAUCUCAUGUCUUCAUACUCCCAGUAAAGCACUCUAUUUUCUAUAUCCUCUGUGUAAUAAUUUCAUUGAUCCAUGCUGGAAACAUGAGUGCAUAUUCCCAACAAUCCAUUUUGUUGCUGAAAUUAUUAUUGAUUAUAAUAUAUUAAUAGUAUCAGUGAAUUGGUUUUAUAGAAACAUCAGAUAUUUUAGUAUCAGAAAAAUUGAAACUGCAGAGUUUUGUGUCCUUAUGUUUUUAAUUGUUCAAUAUUAAUUUUCAAUUUACAUACUAUAAAAUUCACUCUUUAUGACAUACAGUUCUAUGAAUUUUGGCAAAUGCAUACAGUUGUGUAUUUACCACCACAGUCAUAAUAUAGAAUAGUUUCAUUCCCCUAAAUUUUCCUUCUGUGGUCCAAUCUCUUCCACUUUUCCAAAUCCCUGGAAAACACUGAUAUAGUCUCAUCAAUACAGUUUUGUAUUUUCAAAAAUGUUAUAUAAAUGGAAUCACUUAACAUGUACCUUUGGGGGUUUAAGUUCUUUCACUUGGAAAAGUUAAUUUGAGAUAUGUCCAUAUUAUUUCAUAAAUCUAUAUUUUCUUCUUCAUAUUCCUGGG
rnacentral:lncRNA from 10 species